GACGAACGCUGGCGGCGUGCUUAACACAUGCAAGUCGAACGGACAGGCCCUGCUUUUGUGUCUUGCUCGUUUGGCGAACGGGUGAGUAACACGUGAGUAACCUGCCCUUGACUUUGGGAUAACUUCAGGAAACUGGGGCUAUUACCGCAUAGGAUCUCCUGCUCCAUGUUGUGGGUUGGAAAGUUUCGGCGGUUGUGGAUGUACUCGCUGCUUAUCAGCUUGUUUGUGUGGUAGUUGCUUACAAAGGCUUUGACGGGUAGCCUGCCUGAGAGGGUGACCAGCGACCUGGGGACUGAGAUACGGAGCAGAAGGGUACGGGAGGCAGCAGUGGGGAACAUGGCACAAUGGGGGGAAGCGUGAGGUAGAAACGCCGCGUGCGGGAUGACGGCCUUCGGGUUGUAAACCGCUGUGGCCUGUGACGAAGCGAGAGUGACGGUAAUGGGUAAAGAAGCACCGGCUAACUACGUG
rnacentral:rRNA from 1 species